GGCAGGCCUGAAUGGCUUAUAUAGUCCUUGACUGUAAUGACAUUUAGUCCUUGGACAAUGGGAUGGAAAACCUCCCCCAUGUUCCCAAACCACUGCUAGUCUCCAAUGAGAAGAUCUACUAACUCCAAAAUCACUUUUAGAAAGACAUCUAAUCUUGAUUUAAUGACUUCAAGUGAUUGAGAAUCCAUCACAUGCUUAGAAUAAUAAUAAUAAAUAAACCAACAUGCACGCCAGCAUCUCAGCAGUUACAAGCCUACAGCAAAAAGACAGAAUGCACAUUGCGGGAGGAGAAAAAAAAUAUUAGGUGGAUGAAGCUGAUAACUCAUUGCUUCCUGCUGACCAGAGACAGCUAAGGACUGACUGAAUGAGGCCAAAAGAAACUCUGAACAA